rnacentral:misc_RNA from 1 species
GGACCCCAGGUCGGGCGGGACCACCCGCUGAGUUUAA